CGUCGCGCCGUUCACCGACGCCAUGACGAGCCAAAAUGGCGCAUCUUGGUGCGGCACAGUGGCGCGUCACUGCAGUGGGACAAACUGGAGAAGAAAAGGUCCUUCCAGUGCUCGACUUGUUGUACUUCUGGCUGAGGUCGUUCUUCACCCUGUGAGACCAGAAAUUUAACAUUUUGAGGCUUUUGCUGAGCAACCAGGCAAAAGAACUCAGCUUAUUUACUUCCUGCUUCUCCCAUCACAGAAUAACAAAAAACUGGAUAAUAUGAACCUGUGUAACUAAGAAGUCACUGUUUCCUGCCCAAGAAAGUCCUGAUUGCAGGAAAUGUCCCAUAAACAAAUGAACUCAUAUUACACAGGAAUAGGCAUCUUGUACAACCUGGGUUUAUUUUCAAAGCUGAAAGGGUAACAUAGUGUAAAACGUCUUUAUCAUUUUCAAGUCCCAUUUUCCUUGUUCAAAAUGAAACAACUGGCAUUAAGCUGGAAUGUACCUAGUCAGGAAAAAGCAGAUAAAAACUCAGAUAUCAUUGCCUUUCUAUGAGGUGACAGAAGAAAAAGCUUCUGUGAGCCAUGCAGAGCAAGAUAAAUCACAAGGCUGUUACCAUACACAGUAGUGAAGAUAAAUUAACUAAUUGCCUCUUGACUAGUUUAUUUAUAGGGACAUAAUAUCUGUUAUCUAUGUCUCUUAUCCUUCUUUCAAAGAAAUUAAAAUUUUUGUUCUAGUUAGGUGUUUAAUUCAAGAAAGAAACCAAAAUGUAAAUCUGUAGUGGGCUAAAGGAGAAGACUUCAUCAGUUUCUGCCUUAUUUGCAUGAUAUUUUUUCACUGUAUGGCAUUUCUGAGUAAGGAUUUUUACUGGAUCAGAAGUCCCACUGCAAUGUCCGUGGCAUGAUCUGAUUCUUCCUGCUUUUAUCAGAUUUUAAGAUAUAGACAUGGAAUUAUUUUUCAGCAAAAAUUAAUGUCUGAAGCAGACACAUCAGUAAUAUUACAAAAUUGUGGAAAAAUUAAAGAGGCCUCUAAAUUUUAAAUGUCUCAAUUACCUUAAAGUGAAU
rnacentral:lncRNA from 1 species